rnacentral:rRNA from 1 species
AUUUGGUUGGGCGAAGCCUGACCGCAAUGCCGCGUGCAGGAAGAAGGCCUUCGGGUUGUAAACUGCUUUUGUACGGAACGAAACGGUCUGCCCUAAUACGGCGGGCUAAUGACGGUACCGUAAGAAUAAGCACCGGCUAACUACGUGCCAGCAGCCGCGGUAAUACGUAGGGUGCGAGCGUUAAUCGGAAUUACUGGGCGUAAAGCGUGCGCAGGCGGUUAUGUAAGACAGUUGUGAAAUCCCCGGGCUCAACCUGGGAAUUGCAUCUGUGACUGCAUAGCUAGAGUACGGUAGAGGGGGAUGGAAUUCCGCGUGUAGCAGUGAAAUGCGUAGAUAUGCGGAGGAACACCGAUGGCGAAGGCAAUCCCCUGGACCUGUACUGACGCUCAUGCACGAAAG